GGAGGAAAAGAAACCAACAGGGAUUGCCUUAGUAACGGCGAGUGAAGCGGCAAUAGCUCAAAUUUGAAAUCUGGCACCUUCGGUGUCCGAGUUGUAAUUUGUAGAAGAUAUCUUUGGUGUUGGCCCUUGUCUAUGUUUCUUGGAACAGGACGUCACAGAGGGUGAGAAUCCCGUGCGAUAGGGUGUCCAAUGCUUUGUAAAGUUUCUUCGACGAGUCGAGUUGUUUGGGAAUGCAGCUCUAAGUGGGUGGUAAAUUCCAUCUAAAGCUAAAUAUUGGCGAGAGACCGAUAGCGAACAAGUACAGUGAUGGAAAGAUGAAAAGAACUUUGAAAAGAGAGUGAAAAAGUACGUGAAAUUGUUGAAAGGGAAGGGCUUGAGAUCAGACUUGGCUUUGCCGGGCCAGCAUCGGUUUGGAUGGCAGGAUAAUGACAUUGGAAUGUAGCAAUACUUCGGUUUUGUAUUAUAGCCUUUGUUGAUACUGCCUGUCUAGACCGAGGACUGCGUCUUUUGACUAGGAUGCUGGCAUAAUGAUCUUAAGCCGCCCG
rnacentral:rRNA from 1 species